ACUUCAAUAAGCAAUGAUGGUUCUAUAACUGAUGGAACUCAGAGCUAAAAGAGGUUGUUUGAGGUGUGCCCCUGAUAAGAGACAGCUGGUUAUUUGGGCACGGCAUGCAGCUGAAAUCAAUAUGUGUUUUGCUGUAGGCCUUAGAGAUGGCUGAGCUGCUGGAAAGGAGCUAAGCUGGCAAAGGCAUGCAACUUCCUGGGAAUGCAGAUUUUGCAGAUGUUUCUUGUGUGCUUAGACACUGCUCCUGCCCAGCAAUUCAAUGAGAUUGCUGGUGAGAUGCUGACUGCAAAGAAAUGCACAAUAAAAUCAGCAAGAGAAUUCCGGAGUUCCUGUGUACAAGAGCUGUGAAUCAACAGCUUCCAAGUCUUUCCAGUCCCAGAGACUUCAAGGAGGGGCAGCCCUACCAUUCCUAUACUCACACACACAUCCAUGCCCAAACAUCAACCUAGGAAUAGAUGAGAGAGUACAAAGCACAACCCAGGAAGACUCUUUCAUCACUUACUCAGAUGGGAGGAAAACAAAAAUCUUCUCAAUCACCAGUCUGGUUUCACACUCAGCUCCAAGGAUGGUCACAAAGGAAGAGCUGUGCUUCCUGUUGCUACAGGAUGGAAAUGGUAUGGUAUUCCCUGCUAUCUUUCUUCUCAACGACCUUGUCUGUGCAGCCCCCUUAUAAAACUGGUGCUGGGAAACCAUUUCUCAGAGCUUUCACUGCGUGUUAUUUUUACUGACAGACUGUAAAAGUGGCAAGAGAUGCUUGUGAGUGCUACAAAGCUGAAGAAAUUAUCCUUUAAUUUCCUCGUAUGGAUAGCAAAAAAUGCAUUUCAAGAGCUCAAGUAUUUUACUCUGCCAUGCUUUUGGGUAGUGCAAGACAUCAAGUGGAACAUGCAUGGCAAGCAGAUUGUAGCUUACUUCCAUUCAAGCGUUUGGGGUGGAAAGGGAAGGCUCCCAGCACACCAGUGCCAUGUGUAACACAUCAGCUGCUCCCAGCCUCCAGCAGGGCAGCUGCCAGCCCCAAGGGGCCGGGGAGGGAGGCUCAGACUGGGAUCAAGCUUGGAACUUGAUUAAGGGAAUAAGAGAGGCUGAGGCAGCUAAAGAACUACGGGUUUUCUUUCAUCCUCCCCUCUUAACUGAAGCUCCUAGCCAUGUUACAAUUUCUACAAAGUGCCGGGGAAUUUCAUACAGUCUUUUCCCUGCUUUUCCCUGUAGCAAUGUGUAUAAGACAGCAAUAACUUCAAUUUGUUUUUCUUUAUAUAGUAAUAUCUUGUAGCCAUAUGUUUAAACUCUGUGUGUUUGGGAGCAAUAGUAAAGCUGUUUGUUUUCUGAUGCCAAUGGAUUCCCUGACUUGGAAGUGGUUUUGUCAGAGAAAAUCCUUGUUUUUCUCACACUUUUGCUGUUCACUCUUUUGAACUGGUGUUGUUCUGUAUGUGUUUUUAACCCACUUUGCUACUUUUCUGGUUGUAAACCAUUAAUGGCAGAUGUUCAACACUGGGAUUUGGGAGGAGAGCAGGGGGUGCUGCAAAAUUCCUUUAUCUCGAAGUAUAUGACUUCUCAUCUAAUUUUGUUUUAAAUGAAAUUUGUGACAAUUUCUUUCCGAUAACAAAACUGUCACUAUCUCUUCCUUUCUAUUCCCUAGCACUAUAAGUAACACUUCUGUAAGAUCCCAAGCCUGUUCCUAAAGUCACCAGAAGUCUAUAGGGCUCUUCACAACAUCUCCUGAAAUCAAUUCUGGUAGCAGUUUCACUGAUAGACUGCUUUUUUUCCUACUACUGAUAUUCAAAAUGACUUGCGUUUUCCAAGUAAUCUGUGAGCAUAAGGAGUUCUGGCAGAAGUGAGAUAAUCAUGGAUUAUCUACACGAAGGUUUGCAGGGUCAAGAGCUUAACAGUACCUGUUUUUUAAAUAGAAAGUGAAAAAUGCAGAACACUUUCAUUUCAAAAAUACUUGCACAGAAACACAACAACUUGGUGGACAGAAAACUUCUGUACAGCUGCUGAAUGCACCUGGGUGCUUCUAAAAUAGGACUGUCCUGUGCAGAGAAAUGCUGAGGACAGUCUGAGGAUGGAUGGUGGAGUUGUGAGGGUCCAAAAGAGCAGGGAAUCUGCCAGUGAGAACUUCAGCAUUAAGACAACACAUCUACUGGGAAUAAAUAAAAAGGCAUUGGUUUUGGUAGCAACUGUCAGCCUUCUGAAUUUGCGCAAGUGCCAUGUUCACUCAGAUGGCAGAAACCUUGUUGAGAUGCUAUGGGGAGAAAAAAAUACUUUGUAAAAGGAUGUUAACACUGUAAAGAGCAGAACUCUGCUACCUGUGUUGUUUUCCUGGUUUAUGCUGUAUUUUCAACAAUUAAUAUUUGUCCAGGCUCUGUCUAACUGCUCAUGUAGAGAGGUAGGGAAGAAAAGGAUUAUACAGAAAAAUACCUAGAG